rnacentral:rRNA from 1 species
GACGAACGCUGGCGGCGUGCUUAAUACAUGCAAGUCGAGCGGGGUCCAUCUGGUGGCAACACCAGUGAAGGCCGAGCGGCGAACGGGUGAGUAACACGUGAGCAACCUGCCCCGAAGUCUGGAAUAACAUCGGGAAACCGGUGCUAAUACCGGAUCGCCCCACCUGACCGCAUGAUCGGGUGAGGAAAGAUUUAUCGCUUCGGGAGGGGCUCGCGGCCUAUCAGCUAGUUGGGGGGUAACGGCCUACCAAGGCGUCGACGGGUAGCUGGUCUGAGAGGACGACCAGCCACACUGGGACUGAGACACGGCCCAGACUCCUACGGGAGGCAGCAGUAGGGAAUCUUGCGCAAUGGGCGAAAGCCUGACGCAGCAACGCCGCGUGGGGGUGAC